AUGGGAUUAAACGCUUUUCACACAUUUGCAGAACUUUUUUUAGGCCGUUUCGUCGGGCUAAAAGGUACCCGGCAGAACAGACAGGAUGAGGCCUUACUGAUGUAAAUGAAAUUCCAUAUUAUAAACUAAAUCGGAAAUAGUAUCUCUUAUAUCUGAUCUGUUCUGACCUGUGCCAAUGGACAAAAUGCAUGCCAACAAGAGCAAACCUUGAAUACAGUGGUGAAAGUUGCUCCAUGAAGACAUCCUGGAAAAUGUUUGAUAUAACAAAUAUAUGGUGACUGGAUUGUGUGUAACUGUAGUUAACAUCCUGCAACUUGUUGGUCCACAGAAGUUGCAGAGUUAAGCACCUGGUCUGGUGUUAAUGACCAACCUCUAUUUUGGAUUUCAAGACCUUGUCGGAAUUAAUCACAGUGAUAGUAAUAUAUUAAAGAUUGAACUGAAAUGGGCCAUUUCUUUUAGUCUGCUCAAGCCUCAUCGUCAAGUAAAGCCUGUGAAGGACGUUUAUGAGUAAUCCUUGUGGGGUCACCUUACAAGAGACUUGAUGCGAUGAACUGUUUGAUGAUUGGCUAAACUGAUUUGGUUACAGUGAUGUAUACAUGGGUGUGUGUACAUGUACUGCUUUCAAUAUUUUCUGCAUGCAAUUAAGUAUAUAAUAAAAAACAAAAUUC